AAAAGAUGUAAUUGUUGAGUAGAAGAAUUUUUUUCCCUUUUCUAAUUAAAAUUAAGUAUUUUUUAAUUAAUAAUGUAUAAAUCAUCAUGCAUAAUUAUUACCCAUUUGCCGGAUAAUGGAUUUUUAUCGUGGUAAAAACCAGCGUUGGUCGGAUAACGUCUUUUGGGAAAUGAUGUAUGGACAUUCCUUGGCUGAUGUCCUGCAUCUAUUUCGUCACAUUCAUUUCAUAAUGAACGACUGUAAUUAACAGGACGCAUUCGCAGCUUUGUCCCCUUAUUGAGUAAUAAGAGAAGAAACCUGAGCCACCUCUACAUGGCUUUCUCUUAAGAUCUCGUUACUUUUACUUAUGAUAAAAGUACCGAGCGAUACAACUGACCGAUUAAAAUCGAAAGGGAGAAGGAAAAAUAAAAAAGAGAAAAUAGAGAUUUUCCAUCUGUUUGUAACGGUCACAGCAGGUGAAAGUGUUUACAAGGAGGAAAGAGUUCUAUUGUUACGUUUUCUGGGGUUGUUUGGGUUCUUUUGGGUUUCCAGUAGGAGCCGUGCAGUCAAAGCAAUGUUGACAAUCCAUCUCCGACGCUUGUUUUGAGGUCCCUAUUGUGUCCCUAUCGGUAAUGUCAUUUGGUGCAACAAAACUAAGUCCUGUUGUCGGUUCAUAUUUAGCGUCGGUCCCGUUAAUAGGUUGUAGAUGCAUCUCCAUCCUUAAUACGCUGUCAGAAAGGGGAGGCAGACAAACUAUAGAACGAGUCGUGAUUGCUAAACUUUAGUACCUAAUUAUAAACGAAUGCUGAAAUGGUCGUCUCACUGUUAUUAGUGUUUUCAUUUAGUGUGACGUACGAAAAUUGUAAUUAUUGGAAAUGGACUGAAUAAUAACAGUGGUGGUUAGACCCGGGACUGUUUCAUUUGUCAUCGAGCAACACAUCAAAGCAGUAAUGACAAUCGGGCGAUUCAAUUGAAAGAGAAUCGUUCCUUAAGAUGACUCCCGCUGAUGGAAAUACUGACAUUUAUCUAUAGUUGUUGUUGCACAUUUUAUGGAAAGAGAUCGUUUAAUGGUAAAUUUCCGUAACAAAAAUCGAACUUGUGCUUUACUUUUUUAUUUUUUUAACCUUCCAUGGAUCGGAAUCCCACUGAGAGUAUGUUUUCUUAUAAUUCCCCCCAGUUGAAAUACCGCUGAGUCUAUGCUUCCUUAAUGUCUCAUAGUUGGAAUCCCACUGAGAGUAGGCUCUCCUAUGUCGAAAUAACGCUGAGUCUAUGCUUCCUUAAUGUCUCGUAGCCAGUGUCCUAUCGAGAGAAUUUUAACUUCUCUAUAGUCGAAAUACCACUGAAUUUAUACUUCCUUAAUGUAUCAAAAUCUCACCGAGAGUAGGCUUUCUUUUAAUUUCUCCAUAAUCAAAAUGCUACUGAGUCUAUGCUUCCUUAAUGUCUCAUAGAAUCCCACCGUAAAUAGACUCUUCUUUUAACUUUCUGUAGUCGGACUCCCACUGAAAGAACAUUUUUUAGCCUCUUAUAAUUGCCGUUUCACUAAUACUCAAUUUUCAUUAUCUCCCUCAUAAUCGGAAUCCCAAGGAGACUAAGCUUUUUUUUAAUUACUAUAUAUUGAAACUGAGUUUUUUAAACAUCUUUCUCUUAGAAUUGUAUUGAAACUGAGCUCUUUUAACAUCUUACACU
rnacentral:lncRNA from 1 species